rnacentral:rRNA from 1 species
AGUGAACGCUGGCGGUAGGCCUAACACAUGCAAGUCGAACGGCAGCACAGUAAUAGCUUGCUCUUACGGGUGGCGAGUGGCGGACGUGUGAGGAAUACAUCGGAAUCUACUUUUUCGUGGGGGAUAACGUAGGGAAACUUACGCUAAUACCGCAUACGCCCUACGGGUGAAAGCAGGGGAUCUUCGGACCUUGCGCGAUUGAAUGAGCCGAUGUCGGAUUAGCUAGUUGGCGGGGUAAAUGCCCACCAAGGCGACGAUCCGUAGCUGGUCUGAGAGGAUGGUCAGCCACACUGGAAGUGAGACACGGUCCAGACUCCUAAGGGAGGCAGCAGUGGGGAAUAUUGGACAAUGGGCGCAAGCCUGAUCCAGCCAUACCGCGUGGGUGAAGAAGGCCUUCGGGUUGUAAAGCCCUUUUGUUGGUAAAGAAAAGCAGCAGGUUAAUACCCCGCUGUUCUGACGGUACCCAAAGAAUAAGCACCGGCUAACUUCGUG